GUCUCUACAUCUCAGUGGUUAGAGCGCUGGCACGGUAUGCCAGAGGCCCUGGGUUCGAGUCCUGGUUGAGACU
rfam:Crassostrea gigas strain 05x7-T-G4-1.051#20 contig17991, whole genome shotgun sequence.